UACAGAGGUCCCAAGCGUUGUUCGGAUUCACUGGGCGUAAAGGGUGCGUAGGCGGUCGGGUAAGUCUAUCGUGAAAUCUCCGAGCCCAACUCGGAAACUGCGUCGGAUACUAUUCGGCUAGAGGAAUGGAGGGGAGACUGGAAGUUCUCGGUGUAGCAGUGAAAUGCGUAGAUAUCGAGAGGAACACCAGUGGCGAAGGCGAGUCUCUGGACAUUUCCUGACGCUGAGGCACGAAAGCCAGGGGAGCAAACGGG
rnacentral:rRNA from 1 species